rnacentral:misc_RNA from 1 species
UUGGCCUUUUAAGUUGUUGCAUUGCACGUUAUAUACAAGUACCUUAAAAUUUUGCAGCUAUUUCAAUAGAAACAAGUUUGAAAUUGACUUUCUGUAUAAGAUAAUGCAAAUUCCUUCUCUUUACCUCCAAGCUAAGCCAAUUCCUAAGCAAAUAACAAAAUAAAUGUGACAUAGCACUUCACAUGCGGUGGUUUGGCUAUUUAUCUCAUUCUCACACCUAAUUUCGUCUUAUUUAACCCUCAAAACUCCCAAUAUCUUACUCUUCAUACCAUACAAUCUUCACACAUAAUGGCCAUCAUUACCCACAAUCUUCUCACAAAAUAAACCCACAAGGAUUUAAACAAGGUAAAGAAAACAGGGGGAAGCUGGAAAAUUCCAGGAAUUUGCAUUUUUUAACUUACCCAUUUUAAAUUUACACUAUGUUACACAAAAGGAGGGAAAAAAAAUUAAAGUAAAAUAAAGCAUCCUUGCCACUCGGUCACUAGCCCGCCGGUUAAGGACACAAACACUGAGCCCCUCCCUAAUCCACUGUCUAUAAUUUAAAUUAAGGAAAAAAAUAAAAAGGUACCCUCGAUUCCUCUGAUAUACGCUUUAUACAAUCAAGAGGAACAAAACUUCUGCUAUUUAACGGCCAUGGUAAAUAACUUAGCCCAAAAUGGUCUUACUAUCAUCAUUUUCCGUUCUCCGGCCGUUAAUACUCAACAGCACGUCAUCUGCCGUUACCGUCAGUCACCGUCACCGUUAACGUUAUUGAAUUUAGCUAUCAGCGACGACGUUUUGGUUUCCAUCACCACCAGCCUCAACAACGCCAACCGCACCGUCUUCGUCUACCCACCGCUCCACGGGGGUGCACUCCUCCUUAUGCCUUAGCUUCCAAUCAAGCGCUUGGCAUGCGCGUGAGCAGUAAUUCACAGCCCCACAAACGGAACAUCUUCGGAACUCAUGUUUUCUUGUCUCUGGUCUUCCGCAGCCGACGUGAGAGCAUAAACGGAGCCCCGGACCGGGUAUACCGCCACGGGACGCGAACCACUCGGCCAUGAACUGACUAGCUGGGUGUGCCUCCGGAGCCGGAACAUUACACCCGAAAUCGCUCAACAAAGGACAUCCCGGACCACUUGCAUGCCGAUGGUUGGAGUGAGCGUGUGGGUUCCAUGGAAGCCAUGCGCGUGUAUUAAGACCAGAAUUAGGGUUAGACAGCACAGCGGCCAACUCCCGAGCGUUGGCUUGAACGAGGAAUCGGCGUCCCUCGGCGACGUUUUGCCGGACGCCGUAGCCGUCCUGAAGGCAGUGACCGAGUUCACGAAGGGCGUCGAUAUGGCCUAGAAAAGCAGCUCUCGCACAUAGCGCCACUCCUGCUCGCAGGUCCUUGUCGUUCUUGGAGCCGCCGCUACCAUUGAACUGUAUAACCGCAAGAGAAUACAGUGAUGGCGCGUGCGAGCUAAUCGCCGCCUUGGCCAUUAGAGAAGCUCCGCUCCCUCGGUUUUGUAAACAGUAAAACCGAAUCAUGCCAAGAGUGUACCAAGCUUCAACAUUUCCGGCAUCGGCACAAUGUUUCAAAAAUCGGUGAGCAGAAUCGGACCAGUUCUUGGCCUUCAUAGCGAACGUUUUUUGAGAAGCUUUAGAUAGUACCAGAGAAUGAAGGCCUAACCCAUUCAAUCUCUUGCAUCUGUUUCAUUAAAAAGCGAAAUUCAUAUGGUUAGCUACAAACACGAAAAAAUUUCAUUUCUUUAUUUCAAAAUCGAAAACUUCAAUUGAGAGAACCCCAAUUCUUAACCAAUUUCCACUUUUCCACUGCAAGUGCCAGGAAUUUCAAUUUCCAGGAAGGGAAAAAUAAAAUCCAAAACAGUAAGGGGAUAGAGAAAAUAUUUCAGAAGAAGAAGAAGAAUCGCAUACGUUAACAAAACGUUAAUGAAAUCGGAAGGACAAGAGGCGGAGGAACUAAGCUUGCAGAGAAUAGACAUGACAAGAUCAUCGGGUAAAAAAUCAAACAAGUCAGUCUCUCCGGCACUCUCCGGCGAUAACCUCGGCUUUUUCCGGGAAAGCAUUUGUUCUCCGGGGGCAGUUGCGGUGGCGGUGGUGAAAUUUCCUCCGUUUCUUCUCUUUACUAACCUCUUAUCUACACAAUCUUCUGCCGUAGGAUAACAAAACCCUCUCUUUCUUCUCAUUUCUGUGUGUACCUCUCUCCCUGUCGAAUAUUGUUUCGAUUUGUCUCUCUAUCUUAGAGAUAAAGAGAGAAAAAGCGAAGUGAAACCUUAUAUAAAAGAGGGAGCAAAG